GCCAGGCCUUGUGGCGGGGGCCUGUAGUCCCAGCUACUUGGGAGGCUGAGGCAAGAGAAUCGCUUAAGCCCAAGAGUUUGAGGUUGCUGUGAGCUGUGACACCACAGCAUUGUACCACUCUACCCAGGGGGACAGCUUGAGACUCUGUCUCAAAAGAAAAAAAAAAAAAGAAUACCAAUGUUUUUUUUUUUUUUGAGACAGAGCCUCAAGCUGUCCCCCUGGGUAGAGUGCCAUGGCAUUACAGCUCACAGCAACCUCCAACUCCUGGGCUCAAGCGAGUCUCCUGCCUCCG
rfam:Otolemur garnettii contig090337, whole genome shotgun sequence.